rnacentral:rRNA from 1 species
CCUACGGGAGGCUGCAGUAGGGAAUUUUGCGCAAUGGGCGAAAGCCUGACGCAGCAACGCCGCGUGAUCGAGACGCCCUUCGGGGUGUAAAGAUCUGUCAGUGGGGACGAAACUUGAAGGUACCCAUAGAGGAAGCACGGGCUAACUCCGUGCCAGCAGCCGCGGUAAUACGGGGGGUGCAAGCGUUGACCGGAAUCAUUGGGCGUAAAGAGUUCGUAGGCGGCACGUAAAGUCUGGUGUUAAAGGCAGAGGCUCAACUUCUGUACGGCACUGGAUACUUGCGGGCUAGAAUGCGGUAGAGGUAAAGGGAAUUCCUGGUGUAGCGGUGAAAUGCGUAGAUAUCAGGAGGAACAUCGGUGGCGUAAGCGCUUUACUGGGGCGUAAUUGACGCUGAGGAACGAAAGCCAGGGGAGCAAAUGGGAUUAGAUACCCUUGUAGUC